rnacentral:rRNA from 1 species
GGCCAGACUCCUACGGGAGGCAGCAGUGAGGAAUAUUGGUCAAUGGGCGAGAGCCUGAACCAGCCAAGUCGCGUGAAGGAUGACGGCCCUACGGGUUGUAAACUUCUUUUGUCAGGGAGCAAUUGGGUCCACGCGUGGGCUUAGCGAGAGUACCUGAAGAAAAAGCAUCGGCUAACUACGUGCCAGCAGCCGCGGUAAUACGUAGGUGGCAAGCGUUGUCCGGAUUUACUGGGUGUAAAGGGCGUGUAGCCGGGCUGACAAGUCAGAUGUGAAAUCCGGGGGCUCAACCCCCGAACUGCAUUUGAAACUGUUGGUCUUGAGUAUCGGAGAGGCAGGCGGAAUUCCUAGUGUAGCGGUGAAAUGCGUAGAUAUUAGGAGGAACACCAGUGGCGAAGGCGGCCUGCUGGACGACAACUGACGGUGAGGCGCGAAAGCGUGGGGAGCAAACAGGAUUAGAUACCCGUGUA